rnacentral:hammerhead_ribozyme from 1 species
CUCCAGAUGACGAGUCCCAAAUAGGACGAAACACGCGUCCUGGAU